rnacentral:hammerhead_ribozyme from 1 species
ACCCAGCUAACGAGUUCCAAAUAAGAUGAAACGCGCGUCUUGGAU